CAGGGACCUAGUCGCAAGUGACACAGCUGUUCUUGGCCUAGGGGCGUGGCUAAGGGAGUGUCUGACAAGUUCUAGGUCAUUGGUAAAGCGGAGAUCUGGGUAGAGAAUUAGGAUUGGUUGUUUGGGGGAGGUUUUACCAGCUGACGCCGGGGCGGGUGAUUGAGUUCAUCUUACCCCAACGUACACACUUCUUAAAGACUUGCGAAACUUCUCCCCUCCUUCUCUUUAUGUCUAUCUCGCCUCUUACUUAUUUUAUGAAUUCUUUUGAGCUACGGUCUUGGCUGUGUUGCCCAGUCGCACUUCUGGGCUUAAAAAUAUCCUUCUUCCUCAGCUUGCUAAGUAGCUGGAUCUACAGGUGCUUGGCACAGGGCCUGACCCACGCGACUUUCACUGUGUUCACAAUGGGCCAGACAGCCAAGUUAAGUUCCCUGCAUCCCUGUGCGGGAUUGGCUGGGUGACUGACAUUUUCUGACGCUGAAACAGCUGGAAAGUGACAGAGGCUCUCAAGUCAUAAGGCUUACAGCUGUCUGAAUUCCCCUUUACUGCUUUAAAUUUCAGGAGGUGGGACCUUGUGAUGAUCUCAUGUUAGCCCAGGUUGGCCUCAGACUCACUAUGGACUUGGGGCUAGCCUUAAAUUUCUGAUCCUCCCUUCUCCACUUCCCAAAUGCUGAGAUCACAGCAGGGGCUGACAUGAUCUUUCACCAGAUGGACAGAAGCCCAGGUAUCAGAGAGUUCUGUGGCAGAGCCACGGUUGUCUCUGGGUUCAUGAUGGGAUCGAGAGCACGCUGACUUCAGGUUCUGGAGAAAAGGACAGCUGCCGCUGCCACCCAAUAAAGCUGAUGACUUGAGACCUUAUCUCAACACACA